AAAGCCGACAAGUCGGGUGUCGGCUUCCUCGAAGCCGGAAAAAGGGCGGGGGCCCCCUGCAUCCGUACAGGGCGGUAGCUAGGGUAGUGUCCACGUGGUGGGAGCUGUGCUUCUUGCAGCAGUGCUGAUGCUGUGCGAGCUAUGCUCGUCAGGGCGUGGGAGGCAGGAAGCCGGGGCUCAUAACCCGUUGAAGAGACGGUGUCUCUCUGGAACCGAGCAGACACGGCUAAGAGUCAUUGGCCGUUACACGUAGCCUGGAGGUCCGCGACCUGCCACCGACAGCCCAGAGGGUUGCAAAAACGGUCUAAUCCCCCAAUCCCGGGGGGUGGUAGUGGUCAGCCAUCCCCCCAUCCUGGCUGGGGUGACCGACUCCCAUCUCCCAUCUUAGGGGCCCGGUGCUAAUCCCAUCCCUUGAGACAGAUUUCCCAUCAUGCCAGCCUGGGUCCCAUCCCCAAUCCUAUGGCCAGGGUUUCCAAUCCCACCCCAUCCUCAACCCGCCAGCCAGGGUCCCUUCCCAAUCCCUUCGACCAGGGCCAUCCCCAUCCUGCAGCUGUGUCCACAACCGAAAGCUGUCAGCCAGGGUCCCAUGAUGGGUUCGACACCCCGUACGGGGCCCGUAAGUUUUUGGCCUUUUUUCGGUAUCC
rnacentral:lncRNA from 1 species